rnacentral:rRNA from 1 species
UAUUGCACAAUGGGCGCAAGCCUGAUGCAGCCAUGCCGCGUGUGUGAAGAAGGCCUUCGGGUNGUAAAGCACAUUCAGCGGGGAGNNCGNNNANAAGGUUAAUAACCUUGUCGAUUGACGUUACCCGCAGNNNANGNACCGGCUAACUCCGUGCCAGCAGCCGCGGUAAUACGGAGGGUGCAUGCGUUAAUCGGAAUUACUGGGCGUAAAGCGCACGCAGGCGGUCUGUCAAGUCGGAUGUGAAAUCCCCGGGCUCAACCUGGGAACUGCAUUCGAAACUGGCAGGCUAGAGUCUUGUAGAGGGGGGUAGAAUUCCAGGUGUAGCGGUGAAAUGCGUAGAGAUCUGGAGGAAUACCGGUGGCGAAGGCGGCCCCCUGGACAAAGACUGACGCUCAGGUGCGAAAGCGUGGGGAGCAAACAGG